UUUCUAAUUUAUCAAACGAUUGAUUGUCUUCGUCUCCUUCGAGGACCGCGGGGGUGGUACGGUGCUAGACAUUAAAUCAAUAUCUUUCCUUCAUUAAAGUGAAGAUUAAUCACGAAAAAAAUUCUUAGGAAAGUUCAGGAGUAACAACUUUCUCUGUAUGAAUUUUUAGUGUUAUAAACAUCACGUUAUACGUAGAUAUCUCGUUUUGACGUCCACGUAAACGUCGAAAGAUACUUAGGCAUUUUUUAUUCAUAUGAAUAGGUUUAUUCGCAUAACUCGUGUAAGAGAGUUGGUAGGGACUAGAAUGGAUGAUUCCGUUACGGACAUAAAAAAAGAAAUGGGUGAAGUACCGUACCUCUGCGUCUGCUUUCUUCGCCAAAUAUUCCGUAUUGUCAUUUGGACUCAAAUGAGAUGGAAUAUUCUGCGCGAAUCUCAACCUUAUGCCUCUGUCUCUGCCUGCCUCGAGUAAGGCUUCGAAGACAUCUUCGCCCUAACAAAAAACAGGCGAGAAAAUAGUAUGUAUAAAUUAUAACUUUAAAUAGAAUCGGAAACACCUUUGCAAGUUCUUUACAAACGGAGAAUCGGCUUCAAAUAGCAGCCAUAACUCGAGUUGUCGUAUGAAGAAAACAUAAAUGGAAUAUUUGGUCGCAUGGGUGAAUGCACGAUAACUUGAAUGAGGUUUGUAUUCAAUUGGGAUUUCGGUAACAUUUUAAUAAGAAAAACAAAUCUCACCUCUUUGGCACUGUCGUCGGGGUAAACGUCCUCUCUCUUCAACGUCCAAUACAAGGCGGCAAUUUCGAUCGUGGAUUGAGCCGAACCGAUAAGAUCCAUCCACGUGUUGUAGGUACUGACGUGACUGACGGAGUUAUUCGGAUAAAUCAGUCCGAUUGGAAUUGAUUCAACUAAAUUUAUUCUGCAGCUGUCCAUACAUGUAAGUCCGGAAUCAUUUCCAGAAUUCGUUGAGUUUAACAAGUGUUUAUCAGCAGCGUGGUCCAGCAAUGGAAGUAAAACAACGAGGACGAUGAGAAUCAGGAUUACGGUAAUCGGAAUGCAACUGGGCCUGCACCAUCCCUGGGCACCCCAUCUACGAGUUCGAAAAAAAAGAGAAAAAAAAACCUUAAGAAACCCGAAAGAACUUGUUUGAACUACCUGAAACUUAACGUGUUGAAAUACUCUUUUUUCAAAUCUUUGCGAAGGAGCACACAGUUCCUUUAAUUUUCGAAAAUCACUUGGACAGGUGACUUCUACAUUUACGAUGAAUCAUUUUGUAUUCUAAUUUUGAAUUUGUAUUACAUCAGAU
rnacentral:misc_RNA from 1 species